CCUACGGGUGGCAUCAUUCGAGAAUCAUUCACAAUGGGGGAAACCCUGAUGGUGCGACGCCGCGUGGGGGCAUGAAGGUCUUCGGAUUGUACACCCCUUUCCUGUUUUCGCCCCUUCCCCCGCUCGUCCCCCAAGAGGCCGAGACGGCUAACUCUGUGCCAGCAGCCGCGGUAAUACCGCGGUCUCACGCGUUGUUCGGCCUCCCUGGGCGUCCCGCGGGCGUCGGCUGUUUCGUCAGUCGUGUGUGAAAGGCGCGGGCUCAACCCGCGGACGGCACAUGCUCCUGCGAGACUAGAGUAAUGGAGGGGGAACCGGAAUUCUCGGUGUAGCAGUGAAAUGCGUAGAUAUCGAGAGGAACACUCGUGGCGAAGGCGGGUUCCUGGACAUUAACUGACGCUGAGGCACGAAGGCCAGGGGAGCGAAAGGGAUUAGAGACCCCAGUAGUC
rnacentral:rRNA from 1 species